AAAUUGAAGAGUUUGAUCAUGGCUCAGAUUGAACGCUGGCGGCAGGCCUAACACAUGCAAGUCGAGCGGUAACACAGGGAGCUUGCUCCUGGGUGACGAGCGGCGGACGGGUGAGUAAUGUCUGGGAAACUGCCUGAUGGAGGGGGAUAACUACUGGAAACGGUAGCUAAUACCGCAUAACGUCGCAAGACCAAAGAGGGGGACCUUCGGGCCUCUUGCCAUCAGAUGUGCCCAGAUGGGAUUAGCUAGUAGGUGGGGUAACGGCUCACCUAGGCGACGAUCCCUAGCUGGUCUGAGAGGAUGACCAGCCACACUGGAACUGAGACACGGUCCAGACUCCUACGGGAGGCAGCAGUGGGGAAUAUUGCACAAUGGGCGCAAGCCUGAUGCAGCCAUGCCGCGUGUAUGAAGAAGGCCUUCGGGUUGUAAAGUACUUUCAGCGGGGAGGAAGGUGUUGAGGUUAAUAACCUCAGCAAUUGACGUUACCCGCAGAAGAAGCACCGGCUAACUCCGUGCCAGCAGCCGCGGUAAUACGGAGGGUGCAAGCGUUAAUCGGAAUUACUGGGCGUAAAGCGCACGCAGGCGGUCUGUCAAGUCGGAUGUGAAAUCCCCGGGCUCAACCUGGGAACUGCAUUCGAAACUGGCAGGCUAGAGUCUUGUAGAGGGGGGUAGAAUUCCAGGUGUAGCGGUGAAAUGCGUAGAGAUCUGGAGGAAUACCGGUGGCGAAGGCGGCCCCCUGGACAAAGACUGACGCUCAGGUGCGAAAGCGUGGGGAGCAAACAGGAUUAGAUACCCUGGUAGUCCACGCCGUAAACGAUGUCGACUUGGAGGUUGUGCCCUUGAGGCGUGGCUUCCGGAGCUAACGCGUUAAGUCGACCGCCUGGGGAGUACGGCCGCAAGGUUAAAACUCAAAUGAAUUGACGGGGGCCCGCACAAGCGGUGGAGCAUGUGGUUUAAUUCGAUGCAACGCGAAGAACCUUACCUACUCUUGACAUCCAGAGAACUUUCCAGAGAUGGAUUGGUGCCUUCGGGAACUCUGAGACAGGUGCUGCAUGGCUGUCGUCAGCUCGUGUUGUGAAAUGUUGGGUUAAGUCCCGCAACGAGCGCAACCCUUAUCCUUUGUUGCCAGCGGU
rnacentral:rRNA from 1 species